GAGUCGAUUUUCCUGAAGAUUCUCCCCGAGGAGGAGUUCUGUCCUCCUGCUCCGAACCCCGAGGACAUCAUCUACGACGGGGAGAACACCUCCCCCACCUCCACAGGAGAGGAGGAGGGGUUAACAGCAGCAGGGGGGGAGGAGAAACAGCAGGAGGAGGAGACGAGCCUUCAGCCUGAGGAGUAACCUGUAGAUAUAAAGUGUAAAGACCUCCUGCAGUGCAUUGACGUCUCUGCCAAAGGCUUCACUCCAGCAGUGAAGCCACGCCCCCACACAGACUGAAGCCGAGCACACCUGAAACAGGAAGUUUACCUGGCAGCUGUGAUCAGACUCAGCUGUUGUUGUUUACUGUAACAGCUGUUUGUUUGUAAACUCUGUGAAGCCUUCCAGAUGUUUCUGCUCAUGUUAAUAAGCUCCUCUGUGAAGUCAGCCGGCGUCCCCGAAUAAAACGUUUGUACCACAUGA